AGCCUGCUAGCUCAGUGAGUUAGAGCGUUGUGCUAAUAACGCGAAGGUCGUAGGUUCGAUCCCUGCGCAGGCCG
rnacentral:tRNA from 1 species